CCUACGGGAGGCAGCAGUGGGGAAUAUUGCGCAAUGGGCGAAAGCCUGACCCAGCGACGCCGCGUGAGGGAUGAAGGUCCUCGGAUCGUAAACCUCCGUCUGUAGGGAAGUACGGUCACUGUGCUAAUCAUCAGUGAAUUGACGGUACCUGCAAAGGAAGCACCGGCUAACUCCGUGCCAGCAGCCGCGGUAAUACGGAGGGUGCGAGCGUUAAUCGGAUUUACUGGGCGUAAAGCGAUCGUAGGCGGUAUGUCAAGUCAAGGGUGAAAUCCCCGCGCUCAACGUGGGAACUGCCUUUGAUACUGGCAAACUUGAGUGUAUGUGAGGAUAGUGGAAUUCCAGGUGUAGGAGUGAAAUGCGUAGAUAUCUGGAAGAACAUCAGUGGCGAAGGCGACUAUCUGGCACAUAACUGACGCUGAGGAGCGAAAGCGUGGGUAGCAAACAGGAUUAGAUACCCCAGUAGUC
rnacentral:rRNA from 1 species